CGGAGCGUAGCGCAGUGGUAGCGCACUAAUCUGGGGGGUUAGGGGUCGCUGGUUCAAUUCCAGUCGCUCCGACCA
rnacentral:tRNA from 3 species